rnacentral:rRNA from 3 species
GGACUACUGGGGUUUCUAAUCCCGUUCGCUCCCCUAGCUUUCGCGUCUCAGCGUCAGAAGACGUCCAGGACCUCGCUUUCGCCACGGGCGUUCCAUCCGAUCUCAACGCAUUUCACCGCUCCACCGGAUGUUCCAGGUCCCCCUACGUCCCUCCAGACGGGGCGUUUCGGUGCCACUUCCCCGGUUGAGCCGGGGGAUUUCAGCGACCGACGUCCCCAUCCGCCUACACGCGCUUUAAGCCCAGUGAUUCCGAAUAACGUUCGCACGGUUCGUCUUACCGCGGCGGCUGGCAC